GCUGCGCUGAAUAUGGAUAUGGUGAGUGAAUCUAGAGCAGCCAUUUGGAGGUAUGAAGAGAUCUUGGAAAUAGAGGCCAUGUGUAUUGAAACAAGACCGAACAACUCCAAGUUCCUGAAGACUUCAUUUCACCAACCCAGAACCUCCUCGAUCAUCACAGCCUUUGCAUGGAUGAUUGUCUGUCCUCUGUUGGGCCCCUUCUGAAGAGAUGGAGUUGGCUUUAUACAAUUAUUCCCAAAUCUUCUAAACUGACAGUGAGGGAGAGUAAUUUGAAAGGACUGCUCAAUUCAACGUCAUCUGAAGAUUUGCACCACAGCUGCAUUUUUCCAAUUUCCUGGCAUCUAUUCUGCUCUCCUGGACUUUUCAAAAACAUUUUCUUUCAGAUCCCUGGAGGCCUCUCCCAGGGCCUGUGGUAUGGAGAGUUGGACUUGACCCUACUGUAAGAGACCCAACUUCCAAAGACUGCAUCAGAUGAAAGGCUCUCCAUAUAGACUACAGACUUGUCAGCUGGUUAAGGAGGCAAACAGAACAGUCUGCUACAAACUCCAGUCCAUGUAUCUGUGCUGAAAAUAAAAGGAGUCUUCAGGAAUCAAAGAAGAAAAUAUUUUUAUAAAGAAAUUUUAUUGCAUAAUUCUUGUAUACAAUAAACAUAGGAAAAGGGUUUUUAAUGAAAAUUCAUGUCAUUUUUCA
rnacentral:lncRNA from 1 species